rnacentral:tRNA from 1 species
GGCCCGUUAGCUCAGUUGGUUAGAGCGACGUGCUAAUAACGCGAAGGUCGCGGGUUCUGAUCCCCUCACGGGCCA